ACCGGAUCCCCUUAGCGCCGCCGCGUCCUCUCGGUCUCCUCAGCGCCGCCGAUCCCCUCAAGCGCCCCCGUGUCCUCUCGGUCUCCUCAGCGCCGCCGAUCCCCUCAAGCGCCCCCGUGUCCUCUCGGUUCCCUCAGCGCCACCGGAUCCCCUCAAGCGCCCCCGUGUCCUCUCGGUUCCCUCAGCGCCACCGGAUUCCCUCAGUGCCACCGGAUCCCCUCAGCUCGGAAAGUGGUGACACAGCUGGGUGCAUGUCCAACAGCAUGGAAAGGCGUUUGAUGAAAGCCAUGGGACUGUGUGGUCUGAAGCCUCAAGCUGCUGGGCUCUUUUUGGCUGACAGCUCAGUUUUGGAGGAGUGCCAAGAUACUGCAGGAAUGCAAGUGGUAUGGCUCUGGUAAAAAUGUAACUGAAUGCACUGAGGAAGGAAAUGUGUAAACUGCCCACAGCUUUGAACAGAACCUGCAGCUCGCAGAGCCAAAUGUGGGAGACACAGCACAGGGCAAACGUGGGCACAGCGUCCCUGUGCUCUGGUAGGGCCCCAAGUGUGUCACUGCCACAGUCCUCACCCCAGGGCAGUGCUGCCCAGAGCUCUGAUGUGCUGUGAGUCAGCCCUGAGGCUGCUCUGUCCUGGAUGCUGUAUGCAGCUCCCCUCCCUUCCCACGUGGGACAUCUCUCACAGCCAGGAAAGAGCUUCUGGGACAAUCCAAGAGGUGCUCCACUGGCUGCAUGGUUCCCUGGAUGAGUGAAAUCUGUGGAGCCCACAGCAGGUAGGUUUUGCCCACUGUGUCUCAUAAUGAGAUUACCACUAAACCAUUUCCUAAUCAAGAUUAUUCCAAAGAACAUUAGUUACUGAGGAGCAUAUAUUUUCCCCUUGUUUUAUAUACUCUUAAACAUUGACCUCAGUUGUUCCUGCAACAUACACUCUUCCCCAUGACAGGUAAAGCCCCCAUUACUGACAUGAUCACUUUGCAGCUCCAAAAUCAUCUAAUUACUCAUGAAAACGUUUCACUGCUCAGUGGGUGCUUCCAAAUAUUCAAAAUACAAAAGCUGUGAAGUUUUGUUUAGUGCUAGCAGAAGGUGCCAGGCUGAGAGCACUACAUAGUCCCUCUUGGGAAAGGUGGAACAAUCCAGCUGCCAUCCUGUGUUCCACCUGCUGUCUCUGGAUUGUGCUGGGUUUUCUUUGUGGAUGUCAAACCCCGAGGAUGCUGCAGCUGUCCCGCAGCUGACCUCUGGAGGGAGGCUGUGCGCCACAAGGACUCUCGGGCUGGAAUGCACUGGAGCCCUGCUGACAUCAGGGGGAGCUGGGCUGGUGACAGCCUGACUUCAGCUGCAAGGUGUGCUUGAGGAUUGCCUGGUUUUUACUUAAGCCCUUUUACUGUGGAAGUAAGUAUCACUGCUGUUCAUCUCUCUGGAUUCUGAUGCCGGGGGAAAAAAAAAAAAAAAAAAAAAUCUGCUGCACAGUGCAUUCCACCCAAAAUCUCUUUAUUCAAACCUGCCAGCUUGGGAGAAUAACACAAAUUUACAAAUUUGGCUAAUUCUGAAGGUUAUCUUGAGAGCUGUUGUGGUGGCAUUGCUCCAACUGUGCCCUCUCAAGGGAGGGAAAUAGUUUCCUCCUUGAGACAAUGUUUGUUUCAUGCAGCAGCACAGCUUCCACAGAACUGUGCUGGCAGGUACCACCCGGCUCCUCCUCCUCCUGGAUUUCCUAGGAUCUGCUCUGUUUUCUGGUUUCAAUUAAGCUGUUGGUAUCACCAGAUCAAUGUAAAACUUAUGAAACUCGUUUAGCUUUUUUUACUUUUCUUUAUAUUAUUUCUAUAAUCGCUUAAUGUCAAAACCAACACCGAUUCUUUCUACCAGUUAAUAUGCACUCUUAGGAAUAGGCCUUUUCAUCAAGGAAAAAAUCCAUGGAAUAACUGUUGGAUCCCUGGUACUCUGUCUUUGGAGUAGACACUUGGGGAGAAAGCUGAGUCUCUUUUGGUGUGAUUGUUUUCAAGGGUGGGGGGGAAACCACACACACAAAAAAACCCCAAAAAACAAAAAAAACCACCCUUCCCAAAUUGUCAGCAGGGCUCAUAAUGACAAAUAGUGAUAAAAGCUGAAGCAUUUUGCCAUGAAGUUCUCUGCUGAAUGCAGCUAAGAUGAAUGCUACAUAGAAAAACAGUCUCAGGAAAGGGUCUGCAGCAGGUUAGCUGGGUUUCAGAAAAGGGGUAUUUCAGGUAUAAGAGUAAUGUCAAUACUGGUUUGGUUGUGGGGUUUUGAGGGUUUUUUUUAUCUUUGUCACCUAAUUUUUCCUAAAAGUGUUUCUUUUUUGGAUGUCAUAAAUACAGACUUCUUGUAUGUCCCUACACUUGUUGAUGUGAAGUAAAGGUGAUUUCAAGUUACUGAGGAUGGGGGAGGCACUCCUCAGCCAGGGCUGUGGCAAAGUAAAAAGGGAUGGUGGGGCAGUCCAGCAACUGUGCGCUCCCAGCAGGUGCUUCCCAGGUACCAGGUGGGCCGGGAUGAGGGCUGGGACCCCUAGAGUCAGGGGAGCUUUCCAGUGGCACAGAGCAG